rnacentral:tRNA from 1 species
GGGCCGUUAGCUCAGUUGGUAGAGCAGCUGACUCUUAAUCAGCGGGUCGGAGGUUCGAAUCCUCCACGGCUCA